rnacentral:rRNA from 1 species
CGGGUGCACUGGUUCGGCCGGGCCUUUCCUUCUGGCAAGCCGCAUGCCCUUUACUGGGUGUGUUGGGGAACCAGGACUUUUACUUUGAAAAAAUUAGAGUGUUCAAAGCAGGCAUAUGCUCGAAAACAUUACCAUGGAAUAAUAGAAGAGCACGUGCUGUUCUAUUUUGUUGGUUUUAGAGCACCCCCUGUAGUGAUAUAUAGGGAUAGUGGGGCGCAUCCGUUUUCAAUCGUCAGAGGUGAAAUUCUUGGAUUUAUUGAAGACGAACUACUGCGAAAGCAUUUCCCAAGGAUGUUUUCAUUUAUCAGGAAAGAAAGUUGAGGGAUCGAAGGAGAUCAGAUACCGUUGUAGUCUCCACCAUAAAAUAUGCCGAAUAGGGAUCGGGCGAUUUUCUCUUUUUCACACUCUCGGCACCUUACGAAAAAUAAAAGUCUUUGGUUUCUGGGGGGAGUAUGGUCGCAAGGGUGAAAUUUAAAGGAAUUGACGGAAGGGCCCCCCCAGGAGUGGAGCCUGGGGUUUAAUUUGACUCAACACGGGGAAACUCCCCAGGUCCAGACACAUUAAGGAUUGACAGAUUGAGAGCUCUUUCUUGAUCAUGUGGGUGGUGGUGCAUGGCCGUUCUUAGUUGGUGGAGUGAUUUGUCUGCUUAAUUGCGAUAACGAACGAGACCUCAACCUGCUAAAUAGCCCACCCCGCUUCUGCGGGUUGCUGGCUUCUUAGAGGGACUAUCGG